rnacentral:lncRNA from 1 species
GAAACAGCUACAAGACCAGCUACCAACGCCGAGCUCAUGGCAAGUGCCAAGGUUGUAGCUGAAGCUGCUCAAGCCGCAGCUCGUAACGAAUCAGACAAACUCGACAAGGGUAAAGUCGCCGGAGCCUCUGCUGAUAUCUUAGACGCUGCCGAGAAAUACGGUAAGUUCGAUGAAAAGAGUAGCACUGGUCAGUACCUCGACAAGGCUGAGAAGUAUCUCAACGACUACGAGUCGUCACACUCCACCGGUGCUGGUGGUCCUCCUCCUCCGACGAGUCAGGCUGAGCCAGCAAGUCAGCCUGAGCCGGCGGCUAAGAAAGACGAUGAAGAGUCUGGUGGUGGGCUUGGAGGUUAUGCCAAGAUGGCUCAAGGUUUCUUGAAGUGAUUUGAUCUUUAAUUGUUGUUCAUCAUUUUCGUAAUAAUAAAUUAAAUAACUAGUAUCGUUUGUGACUAGUUUAUGUUGCUUCGUUUAUGUUUAUGGGGAGUGACGAGUGAGUGUAAUAACUUCUGGUGAUCAUGAAUCUAAUCCAUCUUUGUUGUGAUUAUGCUUAACUUAUUGGUGUUUACAAAACCAAAUCAAAAAAUGAUCAUCCUUUGGAUUCGAACUCGUUAGAUUCUAUAUCAUUAGGUUUCUAUGUAAAACUAGUGUUUCAUUUCUUAAUUCACUCAUUUAAUAGUGAGGUUUCUGGUAUUGCAAGUAUGCAACUACACUACUUUAAAAAUGUGUCAAAAUACUUAAUCAUACAACAACAAGAAAUGGACUUACAGAAACAGAGAGAAUACAUAUAUAGAAAUUAGUUGCAAUUACAGGACAUUGGUGUAUACUAAUCAAGAAUCUGUCAUAAAACAAACGCUUAGAGUUAUGAACAAUCCUCUCAGUCCCACACAAAAUCUGAUUACACCGUUCAUGUCUAUAUUCAGGCACAAAACCACUCAGUUCCACAAGUGUCACUCUUAUAUCUCCCCAAAACACAGAAUGACAGAAUCUCUUUCAACCCUAAACACUGAGUUGUGGAACAUAAUAUCAGGGAAUCUUCUUCCAUAGAUAAGCCUGUCUUUAAGGACCAUUCACUUCAGGCACACCACUUGAACACAACCUAUCUUUAACCACAUGAAUGUCUCCAUCUGGUGAACCUCCUAACCAAUCCUCUUCUUCUUACUAGUGAGUGCUUCAAACUCUUUGAUAUUGUUCCCUCAUGUAGCUGCAUUGCCUGAAAAUGGCUCUGUUGCUCCAAUUUUCCCUUACCAAACAUCACCAAAGUUUCAAAGAUGAUGACGUGUCGUGACAUGAGAUGAUUUUAAGUGUUUUAGGCAAAAAUAAAUAUAAAAAGAGGUCAAAGGGGAUAAAAUAUCUUUCUUCAUGUAUUCACCAAGCUAAAAAAAAUAAAAUUAGUCGAUGAAAAAUCUCUAUCACAAACGGUUCUCUUAUAUUAUAUCUCUCUCUAUACGAAAAAGUUUUGAAAAGAAUCGUACUAGUACAGUAAUCAUCUCAUGGUCACAACAAACAUUCCCAAAGUUCAAUAUCAUUGUCACGUGAAAGGCGCGUGUGAUGAUGAACGUUGGUUACUUGUAGUUGCAGUUGUAGUUGAAGCUGAAGGACAUCGUUGUCUUCUAGGCCUUCUUGUCAUCUUACCCCAACCUGCAAAGCUUCUAUCUUCUAAACACAUUUCAGUUUCACCAUUGUUGCUUUGAUUGCUCACAUGUUGUUGAACUGAGGGAGGAGGAGGAGCUGGAGCUGGAACCGGACAAUAGACCGGUUCAGCAGGGAUUGUUAUGGCUCGUCGUGGUCUUCCUCUUGAACCGGUUUUCUUCCUUGUUAAACCGGUUGGAGUCCAAGAUCUUCCUGUUGCUCUCAUGAACCCAUCAAACAUUUGAAUGUCUUCUGUUACUUCGUGUUUCGAAAGAGACAGAAGUCCAGGGAGAAUGUCUCUUUGGAAGUCUCGUCUCUGUUUCCCUUUUCUCGCGUUUCCUCUUCUCGGUCUUUGGCUUGUGACCAGAGCGGUUCCUGUAGUUUCCUCCAAUUUGAGGUUUUCAGGAACCAAUGGCUUAGGCAUAUACUCUUGUUCUGAGAUAUCAGGUAGUUGCAGGGUCAUUGACUCAAAGUAAUCAAUAUCUUCGAUAGAACGCGAUUGAUUCCUUGAAAAAGUAUCGAGCUUUUUGUCCAGAUUCUCUUUGUGAGUAUUUACUGUUUCUGCAAACCAGUGAAGGAUGAUGGUUUCAGAAACUUCUGACGAAGCAACAACUUCAACCUCUCUAUCUAGGCAAGCUGAAUAGAUGGCAACUAUUGUUUCUGCUGCUAAUUUUUCAAACUCAGGCGGUUUCUCUAGAGUUUUUUCCUCAAUUGAUUUUACUUCUGAUCGCUUUUCUCCAGAGAUAUUACCAUCUUCUUCUUCAUCAUCAGACUCAGGAACAGUUUCCAAAUCUAUCAUAGGAGCCUUUGAAUUCAGUCUUGAACUGGCAGGAACAGAGCAAUUUUCGCCUUCAUCAUCACUGCCCAAAAUGUUCAAAUCAAUCUGACACCUAUUACUAGCUGAAACCCUUGUCUCAGUCUGUUCCUCUGUUUGCUGAUCUUCAUCCCAAAGAGGAUCACACGGUUCGUUCAUGUCUAGCAUCCUAACGUAAUGGACUUUACCUUUCUCUACAUUGGAUUGAUCUUUAUAAGCCAAUCCAGGAAUUUCCUUGUUAGCAUCGAUCUUCUCAGUCACCGGAUUAUUGGAACAAGAACCAGACUUUAACCUCUCUAGCCACAUAAUAUUCUGAACUUUGUCUCCUGCCUCAUCUCUGAUAUCCAAUGGUUUCAAAGAAGAACUUGGAACAGCAUCAUUACUCUUCAGACUCCAUUUCCCAUCAGCUAACUCAGAGUUACAAACAGACUUGGGUUUAUUAAGCCAUGGUAAAGUAGCCAGGUGUUCUUCAUCCUUUCUGACUUCAACAACAGAAGUGUUUGAAAGUGUCACAUUUAAGUUCAAAUCCCUCACAAACUUCCUCUCCGAGCUGUAAUCACUUCUUCCUCCGUUAGGAUAAUUAUAGCCAGUCCCAGCGACUUUCGAUUUUGAUGAAGUGGAACACUCAUUGUAAAACAUAUUGUGGUUUAACCGACUGGAAUUCCCGCACCCUGAGUCAAAUCUAGAAUUGCUUUCAAACUGCAAUCUAUCUCCAAGAUACCCUUGCUUCUGAGCAUUACCAAUCAGUGUAUCAGACAUGUUUAGAACCGGAUAUCUCUGAGCUGAAGCAACUUUCUGAGGGAAUCCAAAGCUAGGAUUUUGCCAAGAAGAGUGCAAAUGGUUCCAGGAGACAGCAGAAUCUGGACGAAUAUAUGGAUACAAGGGGCGCUGUUGGUGAGAAGUUAAACUUGAAUCCAAGUGAUUUUGAUGAAUGACGGCUUCAUGACUACUAUUGGUAUCAGUAUCAGCCUCUAGGUCAAUAAACGUUCUUUCUCUCCAGACGACUGCCUUACUUGGUGGACCUGAAUUAGGUAAACUCAUAACUCUUUGUGAACUGUUCAUCAAAACUUGCAUAGGCUGAGACAAAGAAUCCAGUGGUUUAGCCGGUUGAAAAAAUGGAGCAGCAGACUUGUGUGUGCCAUUAUAAUGAUCUGCAGAUGGUAGAUUUCAAAUGAUAACAUCCGAAAAAAAAGUAAGAAACAUGUGUGACCAUAUAAGAAAAUCCAAGAAUGGCAUUCACAAGUUAAUAGAUCAUCUUACCAGUUCUUAGGGGUUGGUGUGACCAAACUUUUGGUUUGCCGUUCAAAUCUGGCUGCAGAGGGAUAACAGGAAUAUGCUCCCUUACACUACCUGAGUUUAGAGAUUUUCCGUAGUCACGAAUAUGGCCUUGAAACUCCCCAUUACGCAAGUCACGGGAGUGGCCAUAAGCAAAUUCGUUUGCUUCUUGAGCAUCAACUGGUUCAUUUAAGUCAGCCAAACCAUUGCUUCUACUAGACCCAUAGCCAAUUCUCACACCAUCUAUGCGAGAUUCAGUCUUCACAUCUCCAUUAGGAAGCUGACUCGAUGUACUGCAGACCCUGUGAUCCUUUAACUCAACAACUUCUUCAUUGUCAUCAAUGUACUCAUCAGCUGGAAGGCAAAGAUCUAUCAUCUUUCUUCUGAUUUUCGUCGGUCUAACCUCGGACACUUCAACACUUUUGGAACUAGCUCCAUUUUGCCAUGAAACUGGACCUUGAGAAUUGCUUCCUUUCAUGGGAGAAUGGCCAUUAUCCUCAACAACCGACAUGGAUGGUCUAUCGUAAACCGAGUUCGCCAAAGGGAAGCUAGGGAUUUUCCAUUUACGAACAUCAUCAUUCGUAGCUUGAGAAGAAAGUGAUGCCUCAAUCUGAACCCAUUCUUUAUUAAACUGUUUCCUUUUCAAUUCAUCCAUCAUAUCCUUCUGUGUCCUAUAUACCCGGUGAAGUUCCAAAACCUGGUUAAAAGGAUCAAAAUUCACAAAAUACAAUCAACCAAAAGCCAGAGGAACUGAUAAAAAGGUCACAGAGAAAAUCUUCCACUAAGUUAACCUGUGUCUUAAAAACAGCUUCGUGUUCGAGCAUUGUCCUUCUCACCACAUCUUUGUCAAACCCAAAUGUAGUCUGAGACGUGAACCCAUUAUUGUAGCAUUGAUCGUUGUUUGAUGCAGAGGUUUUAUUGUCACCGUAGAACAAUGGCCAUCUACAACCGUUAUUAGAUUCUUUGUUGAGAUCUCCCAUAGAAUGAUGAUAUCCACCAAAUAAGCUUUCACAGUGCACCUUUGUUCCCAUUCCUGCGCACAAAUAUCCAAACUUUAGUACCAAAGACUAACUAACACAAAUCUGAUUCAAUGACAUUGAAAUUGGCAACAAAAAACAAGCAUUAAUCACAUUUCCUCCAUAAAAACAAGAACUUUAGCUCCAUGAGCUCUAUCUAGUUAAAACCCAUUUUGAGAGUAGCUUCAAAUUCAUCAAAAAGUCAAACACAAAGCAAUUGUAAAAGUGAUAACACUAUCUAUAUAUAAAGCUAAGGGUUUUGACUCAAAACAGAUGAGUUCUAACGCCGACGAGUCAAAAUAGGAUCUUGAGUAAUCAAAGUUGGAAAUCUAAAGUUAGAUAACAAAGAAUCUGCAAAAAUCUUAGGACAAGAUUGUACCAAAUAGAAAUUAACAAAAAAAAACCAAGCUUUAAUCUAGGGAAAAUUAAGCAGAUGAAAUUGAAAUUAAAACAGAGUUUAUAAAAAUGAGAUUUUUAUUUUUGUUACCUCAAACCCACAUCUUCUUAUCGCCAACCUUGUCUCAAAACUUUCUCAGAAGAAGAAGCAAUUUAUAAAAAAAAUCUAUGAAUCAAAAGGAAAAAAGUAAGAAUUUUUUUCGAAUCUCUCUACUAAAGGGAAGAUUGAGAAACAAAAAAAAUAAAAUAAAGUGUUGGGGGGAGGGUAUAAGAGUUAUAGCGUAAACACCAUUAAUGGAAAUAAUUAGAUCGUCAUCUUCGAUCUAGCUGGGCCACUCUUCUCUCUCACCAAACUAACAAAAAGAAAAAUUGAGGAGAGGAAAAAGAAAUCUGCUUUAUAUUUAGCUUCUUCUUCUUCUUCUUGUAUGUGAGGGGGACGAUGAUGAUAAAGAAGGUUUAUAUUAUAGGAGAAGAGAAGAGAAGAUCCGAAAAUCAGAAGAAGAGAGAAAAUAAAAACAAAAAACGAGGGCUUUGGCUUUUGUACAGUGACAUGAAAUAAUUUGUCAACAUCCGGUCUUCUCUUCCCUUUUAUUCUCUGCUUUUUCUUCACCUUUUUUAGUUCUCUCUUCUUCUUCUUUUUUUUUUACCAUCUUGUAAUAACUAAUACUAAUAUUCUUCCAUUUUUAUUAUUAAGUACAUAUUAUUAUAGGAUAAAAAACAGGAUUUAUCAAUUAGUUUGACUCAUAAAAUUCUUGGUUCUAUUUUUUAGGGAUUAAAUGAUUUUUCAAGAUAAAUUUUAUUUUAUGCUUAAUUUGUUAUAUUUAUUUAAAUAUUUUAUGUUACCUUUUUAGUUUUUAGUUUUCAUUCCAUUUGAAAUAAAAUAAUCUACUACAUUGAGCAGUAGAAGUAAAUAAUUGGUGAAAUGUGGAAAUGGGUAUCUUCUAGGUUCUCUUCAUCUUUCUUUCUUGCUUUUUAAUGCUUUUAAGAGAUUAUAUAAUUACUAUAUUUUUGGCAAAUCUAGAAGGGAUAAAAAAAAAAAAAACUAUGAUGAUGUGUCAUCUUUAAAUGAAAAAUAAUGAAGCAAUUUAAACCAAGAUCAUUUAAAUAAUUACAUUUUAGUGGUUAUCGACUUAUCGUAAUGUUGGUGAAUGGUGAUGCUACCAAUUAAAUAUCGAAACGUGUUAGUUUUUGUAAAUAAAUUAGAUAUUUUAAAAAGGAAAUUACAAAGUCUUUAAAAGAGUAUUUAUUAAAAAAGUUUAUUCUAGAUGGAGUGUUCUUGAGGGUUUUCAGAUUUUGAAAAGUAUACAAAUACCAUUUUUAUAUAAAAAGCAAUUAAUGAUAUGAGUCAAAUGUUGUUUACAACGAGUAAUACUCUGUACAUGGUAACAUCACUAUAUCACAUAUAAUAAUAACAAUAAAAUACGAAAAAACUGAAAAUCCAAAACGAACAUGUCGUCACUCGUCAAGGAUAAAUAUGGUAAAUCCUUGCCCCAUUAAUUACGCAUCCUUUUGUUUAACACAUUUUUUCGGUUAGGCUUAGGCCUCAUUUUUUUUUUUAUAAUUAGGUCUCAUUUAGUUCAAAUAUAUAAAUUUAAAUAAAGUUGUAACUAAAUAAACUAUUGACAGCAAACAAAACGUGGGUCCCGCCAAAAAAUCUUUUCUUUUUCUAUAGCUCUAUCUCGUUGGCUACUGUUAAUGUGGAAUAUUUUUGCGUUUUGAUACUGAGGAAUUAGAAGUUUAGAUUUCUAUUAAAUAUUGGAUUGGUGAUUAAAGUUGAUAGCUCGGAUAUUGAUCGGAUCCAUGAGGAAUAACAACUAUGAAGUUAUAAAAUUAUAAGAUCCUAUAAAAAAAUUUUAAAAAGAUCUAGUCAUUCUACUUCUGGUAAUUUGUACCACACUAAAUGCCCAAAAACCUUGUGAUUUUUUUCUACUUUAGACGUUUAAUAUUUAUGAAAGAUGAAUGUAAUUUAAUCCAAGGGUCCAACACACAUAUAUUAUAUAAAUAUUAAUGAGAAAUUUGGCCCUUAAAAGUGUAUAAUUACCACCUUUUUUCCAUCGACGUGACCAAAAGUCUUUGCAAAACUGACCUGUAAAUAUAUAUGCACGAAAAAAAAGUUUAAAUAAUUUCGGUAUUAGACAUAUAGAAAAAAGGUUUGGUAUUCGGUAAAAAAAAAAACUAACAUACGGUCUUCGGCUGUUGUGUGGCAUAGCAUCAUUAUGUUUUGUCUCUUAUGUCACAAACCCACAUGGUUAAUUCCGUAUUGGUAUAUUUUUUUUAGGUACCAUCGGAAAUUUUCUGACCAUGUCUCAUUUCUUACUGUUCAUUUCCAAAAGCAAUAGUAAAAUGCAAGAAAAAUAAAUCCAACUAUACUAUAUAUGUCGUAAAUCUACAUUCAUUAUCUGAUAUCGUGAUAUAAUGUCAGUACAACUCUUUUCCAACAGAGUUUUUACCUAUUUUAAAACGUUUAUUAAAAAAAUUGUACGAAAAUGAAUCUGAAUUAUACCAAUCAAUAAAGAAAAUAACUUCAUAGAAAUGUUCGUAUAUUUUUAUAAUAAAUUGAACGGUCUGUAUUAUUAUAUACAUGCAUGUAUCAAUAGUUAUAUUAUGCUUUUAUAGGGAUCAAGAUAAGUUGGGAUAAUAGACCUUAAAAGUGGUCCAAAGUAUACUUUCGGAAAUGUCACUCUCAUCAGAAAAAAAAAAAAAAAUCAUCGAGAUUUAUAAAACUGAGUAUUAGUCAAGGGUCCUAUCAUACUUCUUAUGGUAUGUCCCACCAAAUUGAUUUCAUUGCGAAUCAAAUAGCAAAAAUAAUAAUUCUAUUAAAUAUAUUUAUUUUAUUUUAUUUUAUUUUUUUUCUAUUUUUUUUUCUAUUAAAUAUACACAUGCAACUUAUGCAACUAUCAAUUUCCUUUAGUAUUCUACGAAACAAAAUUAUAUAUUUGUUGUCACAAAGUUUAAAAAUUCCAACGUAUUUUAAAUGAAAAUUAUGAUGGUAAAAAAAAUAGAAUUAUUACUCUCACAUUAGUCAUUUACGUAAAUUAUCAAUGAAAAAUAUCUAUCACUUAAUAUUAAAAAAAAUUGUUAUUGAAAUUGAAAAAGUAAACUAUUUGCCACUCGUCUCCCACUAGCUCUCCUCCAUUCUCCUUUUACCAACAAAAAAAAAACUGUUUUAAAAUACCCUCUCGUCUUUAACGUCCAUUUAUUAAAUCUAUAUACUAGUAGUAUUAUUUUAUUGAAUGCGAAUUAAAUAAUUUCUCAUGAGUUAUGCAUAAAGAUAGUCCCUUUCGAAAAGUUUACAUCAAUUUUUGAAAAGCAUCAAAAACGUAGACAAACCACACUGUCCACACAAAGGAAUGAAUUUAAACACUUGAUUAUCGUAUUAUAGCCUGAAAAAGUAGAUUCCAUGAAAAUCUAUAGCUAAUCGAGAUCUGUUUUAAUUCGUUUUUUAUUUUUUAAUACCGAGCAAUGAUAAUUAUAGACAAACAAAUUUAGAGAAAAUUAAACUCCGAAUUAAUCAGAAUGGGUUGUGCAUUUAUACAAAUCUUGACGAAAUUUAAAAUUCAAAUGUAAAUGAUUCCAUCUACAUAAGAAAAGAAAAAACUACAUACAAAUCAUCAAUCUUGGACUAAUUAUGUGUGUUUGAUCAAAUAAUAUCUCCAGUGACGGAUUAAAGAAACAAAAAAAUCAUUUAACCAAUCCAUAACGGUACAAUGGUCAAUAGCUUAAAUAAUUUUAUCAAAAAAAAUUACAACAAGAUUCAAAUUAUCUUGCUAGGAUAAUUAACCGUAGUUAGGUUAGAUGGUAUAUAUACAUACUAGAUUUUAACCCGCGGUAUACCGCGAAAACAAUUUAUUUUUUAAAGUUAAUAUACAUAAAAGUUUGCAAAUUAUAUCUAUUAUAAAAUAUUUUUAUUUGAUAGUUUACAAUUGUUAUUAAGUAACAUCCUGCCAAACCCGUCCCGCCAACCCGUCCCGUAAAAAAAACAUUUAUUUUAUUAAUGUUGAUCUUAUUUAUGAUAUGUUUAUGAAUUAUUGUCUAAAUAUUUUGUAAUUUUGUAGUAAUUAAAUGCUAUCAAAUAUCUCUGCGGUUUGAUGUUUAUAAUCGAAUUGUUAUAGUCAUGGAAAAAAGCAAUAUCAAAAAUGAUAAUUUUGAAGUAAUUAAAUGAUAGUAAAUAUUUUGGAAGUUUUAUUUUAGUAACUAAUGUGGAGAGAUUCAGGGAAGAUUGUUAAAUGUCAAAUAUUUAUUUCGAAGAUUUUUUUUUUAAUUAUCAAAAACAAACAUUAAAAUCUAGUGGCAGCCAUUGUAAAUAAGUCAUAACUACAAGAUUUAUUUCACAAAAUAGCUGCAAAAAUGUAUAUAUAGAUUAAGUGUCUUUCGUAUAUUCAAAAAUUAGGAGUUUCAGUUUAGAAACUCUCGGUUUACACUCAGAAAAUCAUUCAAACCUAUUCAAAUGUAGAUUGAAUUAUUGAAUAGGUAUGUAAUUGAUUAUUUAAUUAUUGACUGUUUCUCCAUAAAAAAAUACUAUAAAUACAACUAUGUAUUAUAACUCCCUUUUUCCCCUGGAAUAAGACUGAUGAUAAGCCCAUUGACAAAUACAGAUUUUGGGCCUAAAUCACCCCAAAAAAAAAGAAAAGAAACAACCUCUCCAUUGCCUUUGUAGCAAUCAAAUUUCCUAAUAAGGGCAUAAUUAUAAUGAUACACAAUUAGUCUACACAAACGAGUGAGACAUUGAUGGUGUAACUCGUGUUCUACGAAGUGUGACUAUUUACAUUUGUUCAGCUUGAAGCUUAUUUAAUCCCUUUUAUUUUUCUUGUCGUGAAAAUCUAAUCACAGUAUCACACUACGUUUUUUUGUUUGUCCCAGCAGUUAAUAAACACACACAAAAAAAGCUUCGAUAUUUGGGAAUUUUUGUAGUUACUAGACAUUUUUACAAAUUAUUACUUAAUAUGUUCAUAUUAUUAAUUUCGUUAUGGUUUCUUUAUUUAAUUAAAUCGUUCACCGGCUUGUGUACGAAUGAUACUUGAUGCUAUAACUUGGAAUCUGAAAGAGCCAAUCACCGAAUUUUGUCGACAGGGACGAGAGAAAAAGGGAGAAAAAGAUGCUCUUUUUCUCGAAGGGUAAUUUGGUAAAUUAAUAAAUGGCAGAUGAUGUAAUUAACGUGGAAGUUAGGUGGUUUUAUUUGUCUGAAAAAAUGUAAGUUCGAAACGGAAUCCUAGAUUCGUGGACACAGAUCGUUAUGGGGAUUAGAGAGAGAAACAAAUGUUUUCUUUUUGUCUCCAGAAAAUAAGAGAGCCAUGAGUUACUCUCAUAUCUUAUACCCUUUUUACCCUUCUAUCUAGUUGUAGAUUUUUUUUAAUCAUUUCUUUAAUUAUUAAUUGCGUUAAAUUAAUUAUUGUUGGAAUAGAAAUAUUAUUUUGCAAUUUGCACCAAAAAAAUAUUAUUGUGCAAUUUACACCAAAUUAGCAAAAUAAAAUAAAAUUAUAGACCAAACUAAAUAAAUUUUGGUGCUAAGGAAUACCAACUUAUGUAGGUUGUCCUUUGAAUAGCCUGACCUAUGGUUGCUGGUUGCCUGGAUCCUAUAUAUGCCUAGUAUGUAUGCAUGAAAGCGUGUACAUUGUAACAAAAAGAUACAUGUAUUUUAUUUAUUAGAAUUUGAGAAAAUAAAUUGCAAGUUUAGAUAAAUAAAAUUAACUAAAACGAAUUAUAAAAGCCUAAUUAACGAGCAAAUUAUUCAGUGUUUAUGAUAUAUGAUCCAAAAAUCAACAUGCAUAAAAUGUUUUUUAUUUACUAGAAAUUGUUGUAUGAUGUGAUUGGAAAAUGGACGUAUUAAUUGUUUUGUAGUAUCUACGGUUCUUUAUGAAACAUUUUGUUCCAAUACUUUUUUUUUUUUGGAAAAUUUUGUUCCAAUGGUAAGUGGACACCAUAUCCAGAGUUCAAAGUUCCUUUUCAACAAUCUCUCCUCUUUUUUUUAAUGUUCUUUCAAAAAAUUGUUUUAAGAAUUUUACAUGUUGUAAAAAAAAGAUAAUUAAAGAUACAAUCCAUAAUUUACUAGAAUACAAUUACAACACGUAGUUAUUUCAAUUAUCAUCGGAUAUCUAUCUACACAGCUCUAUUUCAUAGAUUUUCCAUAAAUAUCAUUUAAUACACGUAGUUACAUUUUUUGUUUGUCUUAUACACGCACUUUCUAGAAUCAAACAAAUGCUUUCAGAAAACUUUAGUGAUUAAUUGAUCGUAGCCAAAUUCAUCUAGCAAAUUAGUAAUUACAGUUAUAAUACCAUUAUUUUGAAUAGUCAUUAUUUGUUGAAAAUAUCUUUAAUAAAUUUUGUUAACUUGGAGUUUAUAAAUUAUAAUCAUAAACGUUGUUUCGAUUUUUGUUACAGUUUUCUAACAAUGUUAAAUUUUCCAGUAUGUGUGUGACCCUACAAAAAUGGGAAUCAACAAGAAUCAAAAGGGCCCAUCAAAGUCUCCACCACCAAUCACCUGUGACCGCUCUCACACUUAACGAUGAUCUUUGUUGGAUUAACGGCGCGUGUAAUCUUGAUCCCAUCACGUGAACUUUCACGCUCAUAGACCCCACUGUUCCAACCUCAGCACCAUCAGUCCUAUUCGUCAAGAAGAUUUAAGGCCAUACGUAACAAAAGCAAGCUGAGAGAAACACAUCCUGUCAAUAAUCCUUGAGCUGGACUCUAAAAUUAGGCCCAUGAAACUUAAUGACAGCCAAAAAUAUUGUUUGCAUUAUGAAUUAAUUAUGGAUUUGCCACUUUUUUUAUGGCAUUUGUAGACUUUGAAUUUUUUUGAAUAGUUUGUGGAUUUUGUUUUUUUUCCUGAUUACAAAAGUAUGAUUUAACAUGCAUUUUAUUUGUUAUGUUUGGGUUUAGUCGGUUGUGGUUGUGGUUGUUCUUACAAUUUAGUUUUUUGAAUAAAGUACAUAUUUUUACCAAAAACAAAAUCUUAAAUACGUACAUUUUGAAAUGUUAAAAAUGACAUAUUCAUAAAAUUUUAGUAAAAAUGAUGAUUUUAAAAGAUCUCGAUGAAAAAUGACAAAACCAACAUUAAUCGCUUACAUUAUUCGUAAAAUUUAUCAUGUUUUCAAAGACAUGAAAACAUUGAUCUCUAUAUGACCGGAGAAAACAUUGAUCUCUCAUAUCAGAUCACGUGAUCGAACGGUGGAGAAACGCUCUCUACAAUAAGGCUUUAAAGCCCAUAAAACCCUUAAAUAUAUCAAAGCCCAAAAGAAACGCCUUUUGCGCUUUCCCGAUCGUGGUCAACUUCCUCUGUUACCAAAAAAUCUGUACCGCAAAAUCCUCGUCGAAGCUCGCUGCUGCAACCAUGUCCGACGAGGAGCAUCACUUUGAGUCCAGUGACGCCGGAGCGUCCAAAACCUACCCUCAACAAGCUGGAACCAUCCGUAAGAAUGGUUACAUCGUCAUCAAAAAUCGUCCCUGCAAGGUUUCGUUCUCAAACAUUUCUCCACUCUCUUCCUCUGAUCUUAUUAGAUCUGUUCAUUACUUAGAUUCCUCAGAUUCUUUUUUUUGUCACCUCCACGAUGUUCGACUGAUAUUUGUUCUUGUCAUCAUUGUUAAAUUCACAUUUUAUUGCACUUUUGUUUUAGCGAAAUUAUUAAAUUGGUCAUCUUCAGUUUUGUUCGAUUAGAUAAGUUUUAGGAUUUUUUCUUACACAAGUUACUGGAUCAGCUGCUAAAUGUCAUUUUGUGUCGCAGGUUGUUGAGGUUUCAACCUCGAAGACUGGCAAGCAUGGUCAUGCUAAAUGUCAUUUUGUAGCUAUUGAUAUCUUCACCAGCAAGAAACUCGAAGAUAUUGUUCCUUCUUCCCACAAUUGUGAUGUAUGUGAAAAAAGCUCCUUUGAUCACUUUCAUUUCUUGUUUGUUUCUUUCAAGUCCCAUUUGAGAUUUUGUUUUUGUUGAAUUGGGUUUCAGGUUCCUCAUGUCAACCGUACUGAUUAUCAGCUGAUUGACAUUUCUGAAGAUGGAUAUGUAUGUGUUCUUAAAUAGCACUUGUUCCUUUAUAUGGUUUAGUUACUUGUUCUGUUUUGUAAUCAUUUUGCAGGUCAGUUUGUUGACUGAUAACGGUAGUACCAAGGAUGACCUUAAGCUCCCUAAUGAUGACACUCUGCUCCAACAGGUUAAGUUUUGCAUGUUCAUCACAUUAAAUGUUGCUAGUUAAUUAAAAUCAACUCUAUGUCGAUUUCUGAAAAUGGAAGAAAAAGUGCAGAGUAAUGAGUGACCUGAUUGUGUUAAUGAAACAGAUCAAGAGUGGGUUUGAUGAUGGAAAAGAUCUAGUGGUGAGUGUGAUGUCAGCUAUGGGAGAGGAACAGAUCAAUGCUCUUAAGGACAUCGGUCCCAAGUGAGACUAACAAAGCCUCCCCUUUGUUAUGAGAUUCUUCUUCUUCUUCUGUAGGCUUCCAUUACUCAUCGGAGAUUAUCUUGUUUUUGGGUGACUCCUAUUUUGGAUAUUUAAACUUUUGUUAAUAAUGCCAUCUUCUUCAACCUUUUCCUUCUAGAUGGUUUUUAUACUUCUUCUAAUUGAUUGAUUCUUUAUGGUUGUCCAAGUGUCAAAGUGUUCCACCCAUAUGAUUCUAACCUUUUGAUGAGCGAAGUCUUUACUCGUGCGUUAUGUAGAGACGUAGAAGCAAUACCACAAAAGAGUAUAAUUAUAGAUAUAUGCUAACAAAACUCAAAAGUUAAGAUCAGUUUAGUAUUCAAAAUUGAACAGUAAAAGGUUAAAAAAAAUAUGUAUACUUAUGAAAAUAACUAAAUUCAUAGAUAAUCUUUUAAAAUUCAGAGUUUCUUUUUCUUAUAUCAAAUUCAAAAUGAAAACACAAACUAAAAUAAACAACGACACAUAUCAUAAGGUCUUUUAUAUUUUGUAUUAGAUCAAAACUAUUAUUGCAAUCACAUUUCUUGUGGUAAUAAAUGAAAGGAAUUCUACUCCUAAAGCCAACGUGUGUCCCACACAAAGUAAGAAGAAUGUUUAUAUUAUCUUUUGCUCUUGCAAAGUCAAAUGUAUCUUCAAAAAGUCAUGUUGCUAGUUUUCUUUUAUUCCCCUCACGUCAUCACGGUUCCUCCUCCUAUUACAAAUAUACACACCCAAAAAGUCCACUAACAUGAAAUGCUAAAGUUAAUUUUAGAAAUCCAUUGCUUUCACGUGAAAAAAAAAACUAUUACAGAAAUAACAUGUAUUUAUACAGUUUACUAAUAGUCAUCAACUCAUCAUAUAUGGUAUAAAUAUUUGUCGAAAAACAGCUCUCAUGAUAUGUGUAGGCUUAUAUUCGACAGCCCAUUAAGACACAAAAUGGGCCUUUUAAAAGGAAUGUCAGUUGUCAAUAUCUGAUUCGUACAACGUGGAGUAGCUGUGGCCUUGUCCGGUUGUCUCUCUCUGCCUCUUCGCUCCAGGUUCACCGUACAAUAAUAACAAAGACCGACGCUUUUGUAAAAGUGAAACCUAAAUUGAUAACCAAAUAAUUUGAUCAAUUUGGUACAACUUUUGUUUUGACUGAUGUUCAGAUUUUCUUUUCUUCUUAAUUGGUAUAGUUUUAUUUUCUUUUUAAAAUGUUUGGAUUUGUAAUUCAUUUAGCAUUCCAUUCUAAUAAGAUUUAUCUUUUUCUUUUUAAUUAUCUCUUUACAUGAUACUACUAUACUAUUUGUUUAAACAAAAAAUAUAGAUAUACAUGCAUAUUCCAUAUUUAAUUAAUGGGAUCGAAAUUCAACAUUAAAUUAAUGUACCUGUAAAAAAUUAAAUGUACAAAACGACAGAAAAACUCAAAAAAGCAGAUUUUAAACGUUAUAUUUUCCAAUUUUCUACUGCCUCCUGAAAAAUUGGAUUUGGACAUGUCUGAACAUUACUCAAAAUAAAUAAAUUUAGCUAGUUUUUGAAAUAAGAAAACAUAGUAAGUACCGUUUUGAAGGAGAAAAAACAAAUAAAGUACUUUUUACACACGAAAAAAAAGAAAGUAAAGGAAAGAGCUUGUUUCACAUAUAUCUGCAGCGUGGACUUUCUCUACUGCGAACCCAAAAAGUUUUUUAAUCUUUUUAUGUUUCCAGAUCCGUUUUAAGACCAGAAGUACAAAAAAAAAAAAGAAACUCGAAAUCUCCAUUAAAAGAGCCUAUCGAUAAUAAAAAGAAAAACAAAACGGCAAAAAAGUGAAGCGAAACACGACACGGAUUCACACAAUACUCAGAUAUAUACAAAAAGGAUUUUAGAUUUUGAUUCAGAACCAAAAAUAAAAAAAGGAACUUUUUUAUUUCUUUGUUUGAUUUUUUGGGUUGUUGGUUUUUUUUUUGUUUGUUAAUUUUGGGGAUCGAUGUCGGAAAAGGAAGAAGCUCCGUCGACAUCGAAGUCCACCGGAGCUCCGUCGCGUCCGACUUUAUCUCUUCCUCCACGGCCGUUUAGUGAGAUGUUCUUUAACGGUGGCGUUGGAUUCAGUCCUGGUCCGAUGACUCUGGUCUCUAAUAUGUUCCCUGAUUCCGAUGAGUUUAGGUCUUUCUCUCAGCUUCUCGCUGGAGCCAUGUCUUCUCCAGCGACUGCAGCUGCUGCUGCUGCUGCUGCGACGGCUAGUGAUUACCAGAGACUUGGUGAAGGGACUAAUAGCUCUAGUGGUGAUGUUGACCCGAGAUUCAAGCAAAACAGACCAACCGGUUUGAUGAUUUCUCAAUCUCAAUCGCCGUCGAUGUUCACCGUACCGCCUGGUUUAAGUCCAGCUAUGUUGCUCGAUUCACCAAGCUUUUUGGGUCUUUUCUCUCCCGUUCAGGUUUUUAGAUUCAUCAACACAAAUUUCUAUCUUUUUUUUUUUUGGUUAAAAAUUUGAAAAUCUAUUUAUGGAAACUGUAUGUUUGUGUCUUUUCUUUGUUGAGCUGUUUCUUGUUUUUGUUUUGUUGGCUGCUUAGGGAAAAAAUAACACGUUGUUGUUAGGUGUUAGCAAAUCUAGGUUUAUUCCAACAAAUUGUAGAUUUUGUAACCAUUUUGCUGGUAUCAUCUUAGGUCAAAAUUGGAGAUUAGGAUUGAGUUAGGGCUUAUUAGAGAUUUGAGAAUUUCUCCUCAAGGAAGGAACUUUGCAACUCAACUGUGUUGGAAAGGUAGGAACUUUCAGACAGAACAAAAGGAGAUUGUGGAUCAAAUACUCGUAGAGAUUUGGGUUUGUUCAAGGUUUUUAUAGAAAUCCUCAGGAAGAUUUCUUGGUGCCACAUCCGAAAAAUCCUGUUCUUAUGACCUUAUAUGUUUUGAUUAUGGAACUCUGUUUUCUUUAGUAGAAAUUGUUCCUUUAGACAGGCCUUUGCUAUAUUCUCUUUUGAUAGGGUUGUCUUGUUUAAGGUCUCUGGCUCUGCUUUAUCUUGACUCUGAAUCUGUUGAAUCUGUCUUUACCUAUUUUGAUGUGUGCUUUGAUUUGUUUUAGCGGUUCUUGACCUGAUAUGUAACAUUGUGCAGGGAUCAUAUGGAAUGACACAUCAGCAAGCUCUAGCUCAAGUCACUGCUCAAGCAGUUCAAGCCAAUGCCAAUAUGCAACCACAAACAGAGUACCCUCCUCCCUCUCAAGUUCAAUCAUUUUCAUCGGGUCAAGCGCAGAUCCCGACCUCGGCUCCACUACCAGCUCAAAGAGAAACCUCAGAUGUAACCAUCAUAGAGCACAGGUCACAACAGCCUCUAAAUGUUGACAAACCAGCUGAUGAUGGCUAUAACUGGCGAAAAUAUGGGCAAAAGCAAGUUAAAGGUAGCGAGUUUCCACGAAGCUAUUACAAGUGUACUAAUCCAGGAUGUCCUGUCAAGAAGAAGGUUGAGAGAUCUCUUGAUGGACAAGUAACGGAGAUUAUCUACAAAGGUCAGCACAAUCAUGAACCUCCUCAAAACACUAAGCGAGGUAACAAAGAUAACACCGCGAAUAUAAAUGGGAGUUCGAUAAAUAACAAUCGCGGGAGUUCUGAAUUGGGGGCAUCACAGUUUCAAACUAAUAGCUCCAACAAGACUAAGAGAGAGCAACAUGAAGCAGUAAGUCAAGCUACGACAACAGAGCACUUGUCUGAGGCAAGUGACGGUGAAGAAGUUGGUAAUGGAGAAACUGAUGUGAGAGAGAAAGAUGAGAAUGAGCCUGAUCCCAAGAGAAGGUAAAGUUAUAAGCUCUGUUGAUGGUUGAUGAUAAUCCAUAUUUUUCGUUUUUUUUGAUCAGAGAGAUGUUUGAAUGUGCAGAAGUACAGAAGUUCGGAUUUCAGAACCAGCUCCUGCUGCUUCACAUAGAACUGUGACAGAGCCUAGAAUUAUUGUCCAAACGACGAGUGAAGUUGAUCUUCUAGAUGAUGGAUAUAGGUGGCGUAAAUAUGGACAGAAAGUUGUCAAAGGGAAUCCUUAUCCGAGGUAAAACACGUUACAACAUUGGUUGGUCUAGCUAUUACACUCUUUGAAUGGCGGAUUCUAGUGAUCGAUAUAUUUUUAUGUAUUGAAACAUUCUUGUUUAAUGUUCUCUCUUGAUCCUUAGGAGCUACUACAAGUGCACAACACCAGGAUGUGGUGUGAGGAAACAUGUAGAGAGAGCAGCAACAGAUCCAAAAGCUGUAGUAACAACAUAUGAAGGAAAACAUAACCAUGACCUUCCCGCUGCUAAAUCAAGCAGCCAUGCCGCUGCAGCGGCACAGUUAAGGCCAGAUAAUCGACCUGGCGGUUUGGCUAACUUAAAUCAACAGCAGCAGCAACAGCCCGUUGCGCGGCUAAGGCUUAAAGAAGAGCAAACAACUUGAGAGAAGAAAACUCUUGACCGUUUUUCAUUACAAAAGCUUUCAAAUUCCACUCACACACUUGUCUGAAAAAUCUAGCAGUUUGCAGGAAAGAAACAGCUUCAAGAGGUUGUAGUUCUUCUAUGUUCUGGUGUAAAACUUAAAAGCUUUUUAGGGUUUUCAGAUUUCUGUUUACUAAUACUGUAUGUGAAUUCUUUUGUACAUGAGGAAGAAAAUUACAGGGGGAUAUUUUGUGUUGUAUCUUUUGUGUUAUUGUUUCAGUAAAAGAUAGGUCUUACAUUUUGUGUAUGAAAAUGAAAGUAUUUGUUGUAAUAUCAAACUUUUUUCUUUUGUUUAUUAUUACACUAUUAUAAUACAUAAUGGCCUAUGACCCAAAUUUUCUUGCUAUUUGUUCAUCUUUCGUAGUCAGUCAUUGGUUAAUGAAAUAUACAGAGCAAUUGUUGUUUUGUUAUGGGUUUUGAAUAAUGGAGUGAAGAAAUUAUGACAUUUGUACAAAUGAAUCUUUUUCAUGAGAUUAAUAAAUUCCCGAGCAAAUCUUGUUUCCAAAAAAGACAAUUGAAUUUUAUCUUCUUCUUUUGUCUCUCAACAAUACAAAUAUGUGAAAACGUUCUCUGUUUUUGCUUUUUGUCUUUUUUUGCUCUCCCCAUUGAUUGAUUGAUUGAUCUUUGUCUCUCUCUCUGUGUUAUUAUGUAGUGAUCACUUCAUUGUUUGUUAGUUAAAAGCGUUGGAAUUUGUCCGUGAUUCACGAAAUCAAUCUUGUUCAGCCUGACACAACACAGUACUUGCUCUGGAAGUUCCUCUGGUGAUUGAGCCUGUGUCAGAAAGAAACAAAAUGUUUUACUUGAGCUACACUCUAACAAAGAAUGACCUACUACUACCAACCAAAAGUUUGGGAGAUUUUUCAAGUACCUGAAUUGUUAAUCCCAAAUCAAGAAUCCCGUUCUUGAUACGAUCCCUGAAAGAUUCGAGUCCUUUCCUCGAAAUGUAACUGAAUCUGUGUAUAUCCAAAUCUAUCUCAAAGUAGUUUGGUCCCUAUCCAAAUGAUCAAUAACAUUAACCACAAGGCUAUGGAACUGAAUUAUCUGGUGUAUCAUUGAAAACUAAAGAAAGAUCUGUAUUUCUAACCUGAAAGAAAUCGUGUUGCGGACGAGAAAGAACCGGUCUAUCGUUGUAAGCUGUGAUAAGUUUUCUCUCAGUAGAACUUAGCUGGAAAUCCUCAGGAUUUACCAAACCUGCCAUGAUCUUUAACCUCUCUCUGAAUGGAACUGUUGAUUCUCUUGUGAAUCCUUUUACUUUCUCCAUUUCAUCUUCCAUGAAUCUCUGCAAAAACCAUAUCUCUCUGUAAAGAAACAUAACAAGUUUUUUAUAAAAGAGCUAUAGGAUCUAUCAUCAUCAUACCUUGAUGGUUUCUUUAAAGUGAGAUGAGAUUUCUUUGUGAUAGUUCUCAUUGCGUUUGAAGUACAAUACUAAGCUAAGUCCUUCACCAUCAUAGUCACCAAACAUAGAGGUUGGAUACAUUGGAAGCUGGAUGUUCACUAUCAAAAGAUUGGGGAUAUCGCAGACUUGUGAUGAUGCCGGUUUCAAAUUAGGAAGCUCAAUGUGUUGAGCAAUGUGGUUGAUCUUUUUAGGACAUGCAAAAAGGUCGACUCCAAUUGGUAUGUAAGGACUACAAUUUGGUGCAGGACACUUUUGCUUGUCUCUGCAGAUGAUUUUAAACAAUACAAUUAGAUUUGAUUACAUACAAAGAAUGUUUGUCUUACUUUCUUGAUAUGAAAAUUUGAAUCCUAACCUGAAGAAAUUCAAUCCACGGAGCUUGAAACUCGACGGAGAAACUUCUGACCAACUUCCUUGACUGGUCAUCUUCUCUCCUAAAGAACGUUGAAUCAUAGAACCGGCUUUUGGACGGUACAAGAGCUUCUCAGCUGAAGCUGAUACACAUUUAGAGAUAAAAUCAUUCAGAAAGAAAGUUAUAAAGAUUCAAAACUUAUAAAGACUUUUUGAUCAUUUCUUUCUUCUUACAGAAUUCAGAUGGUGUUGAUUUGCUAUCAAUAGAUGUUCUUCUCACAGAAACCAUAACAACUUUUGAUGAUUUCUUUCUGUGAUCUUGAUGAUCUUCACAAGUAGUAGUCUUGAAGGUUUCAUGGUGAGAUUCAUCAGCCACUUGGUUUCUCUUUAUACUAACCUCAUUCUUGCUCGAGUAAGUCUCACCUUUGUUUCCAUCUAUUUUCAGGUAACUUUCGUAGAAUUCUUCAUACUGAAUCACUUGUCCCAUUGCAGAAGCAUUUGCAUCUACAAAAAAACAAGAUCAUGUUUUCAGACACAAUCAUGCACAAACCAAUGUCUCUAGUUUUAUAUCAAGCAAAAUUUGUUUACCUUCGAAGACACUACUAUUUGAACCAUCAUCAGAAUCAGAAUCGAUGUAGCUAAAGGAAUCAUACCAAGCCUCCUCAUGUGAAAUUCCUAAAACAGAGAAAAAAAUAAUAAUGAGAUUCAAGAAAACACAAUUUAGGAAGAAGAAAAAAACAGAAUCAAGAUAUAGAGAAUGUUGCUUACGGUUUCCAUCGAUUUGGCUGCAGUUCCAUUGAAGCUGAGUUAAAUGGAAGUUAGCAUUAGACAUCUCAGCUCUCUUACACAUCAUCUUGGCUGCACAAUUGUCGAAAUCAAGAUGAACAUAUUCGCUCACCGCAAAAUCCCUAACACUCGCAUUACUCAUGCGUUUCAUAGGAACAUCGGGCAUAGAAGCCGAUAUUUUGGACCGACAUUUGCCAGAUCUGCCGCGUUUCUGCUUCUUCUGUUGAAGCUUGUUACUGAGUUUUCUCUGAGAAGAAACACAGCCACCCAUAUUUUGUUUUGGAGAAUUUCUAACUAUUUCAUUCACCAAACGAAAUCAAAUUUUUGUAAGGAACCUGUAUCAAGACAUAAAACAAGAAUAAGACCAUUACCAAGAUAUACAUGAUCUUGUCUAGAAAUCAAAAAUCAGAUGCCAAAAAAGAUAGACUAUUUUUACCUUACAAUCUUUCAGAGAGGUCACCUGUAAAAAGUUAAGUUUACAUAAAAGAAUGCAUCAACAUUCAUAACAAUGAGAUGUUGUUUCAUGUAUCUUCAAGACCCUUCAUAUAAGAAAAAAAAUCGAAUGAGGUUUAUUUUCUUAAAUUUGUUGCUUACUUGGGUCUGAAAUUUUGAAUACUUAAAUAAACAAAUUAAACAUCGAUAACAUCAAACGCAACAAAUGCAGCCAUUUGAAUUUUUUAUGAAACGUGAAAGAUAAGAAACAAAAUCUUGAAAACACAACCAAGUAUUGUUUUUAACGAAAACUCUAAUCAUUUGUUAACCAUGAAAUCAAGAAAACUAACCAGGAGAAGAAGAAGAACAGAAGAAGGCGAAGAAAGGAGGAAGAAAGAGGAUUCUCUAUGAAAAUCCUCUGUUUCGUCUUUCUUCUGCUCUCUGCCUCUAUUUGUUUCUCUGUCUUUUCGUGUCAAUAACAAUAAUAAAACAGAAACAGAAAGAGAGAGAUCUUCUUAAGAGAAAUAUUAAGAACCGCACCACUGUUUUCUUUAGUAACCCGUUUUCUUCGGAUCAUUCCCAAAAGUCUUCUCCCCCGUUAAAUUCUCUCUCUUUAAUUUCUCUGUUUUUAAUUACUAAUAUUUUAUUUUGUCCAUUUUAAUGAUUAUUAUUAUUACAGAGAAACAGUAAAUUAGUGUUAUUGGGGAUGUGAUUGACCCAUCAAGUUCGCGGGGUAAAGAAGAAACAGCGUUUUAAUUACAGAACAGACGAGUUAUUUACUUCACGUGUCGCCAUUUAUGGGAAACAAUCUUCUUAUUUUCUUAACCUCUUUAAUACCUUGUCUUGUGUCUUCUUCGUCCUCAUCAAUGUUAAAUCCAUUCAUUUACAAAACAUGUUUACCCUAUCUUCCAACAUAAAACAAAAAAAAGGUAAAAAGAAAACAAUUUUUUCCUUCUAAAUUAGAGUUUUUAAUAUUCAAGUUCAAUAAAUUUAGUUAGAGUCUAUAAGUUAACAAUCAGCUAGACGUAACUCUUAACAAAAAAUAAUAGUUCCAUAUAGAAAGAAAUUGAUGAUAGAAAUUGACACUGAAUUGACAUUAAAGAAAUAAAAAAAAAGAGAUUCGUAUCUGAAGUUCUCGAGGAUCACAUGCUUCAUGUAUUCGUUAUCGUAUUCAUAAUUUAACCAUUGUAUUUCUAUAUUAGUAUCAUGAAUAUAAUUUAACCAUCAUCUCAACAAAAAUAAAAUUAGCCAAGUAAUGCAUGGUAUAUACAGUAUACUAUACACAAUAACUUUUUUUAUCAACGUAAAAAUUAUGGAGGGUUUCUGUGAAUGGACCUAGAUCAUAGUAGUGGGAUCCUUAGUUUCGCAUAGACAACAUUUGGUACCUCGUGGAUAACAAAUGGUGAUUUAUGUUCAAUACUAUCUUGUUAUAGUGAUGGAGAAGUUAUGUUAUUAUGUCGUUGUACAAUACAGUUUGUUAUUUAUUUUUAAUAUGUCAUCAUUCAUAAUAGAUUGAUUGUUUAUUUUUGCAUCAACUAAAGCCGUCUAAGAAUAAAAUAAUCUACUUAAAAAAAAUAUAGCUAAAAAGUGAAUAAAAGCUAUUAGUUAGUUCAAAGUCCUUUUCGUAGGAGAUUAAUUAGUCCACGGAGAUAUAUUCUAAUCAUUGAUUCUUUAGUUUUGUUCAAUAGUUUUCAGUAUUUUUUUUAUAUAAUCUUCUGGUUGAAGCUAUAGCUAUUGUAUGAAAGAGACUUAGCUGAUUCUCUAUGUGUUUGUGGAACACAAUUUAUUUUUAAAAACUAUAUAGUCCAACGAAAACUAUUUAAAGUAGGUGAGUUGCUCAUUUUAAAUUAUGUUUAGGACUGCCAAAAAUUUAGACUAAUUCCAUGCACUUUGAUUUCUAUGUUUUCAUCUUAUUUGCUAUUAGAGAUUUAUUACAUGUUACUUCUGAUUAAAUUAGAUGGUAACAAGCUUUUAUAUCUUAAAAUUCCAUUUGCACAUUUUCCAUUGCAUCCAUUUCUAAUUAUACAUAUAGUAUAUAUUCUUUUAGUGAAAAAUGACGUUAUCGGAUGGAAAAAGUCUCAACAAUUAAUGGGUUCUGUUUCUUUUUUCUUUUUUUUCAACUGUGUUAUUGACGGCUCAUAUUUUAUAGAAUGGAUUUUUACUUUCGGACAAAAAAGAAAUGAGGAUUUAUGGCCAUGAUUUUCUGGAUUUAUUCAACCAUUUCCAAGAAAAAGAGAGAUUAUUCAACUAAUAUACUGAUGAUAUUUCUAGAAUUAAUAAGAAGCUAGCUAAUUUUAAUAAUGCAAUAUGUAAAGAAUUUUAUGUAUCAAACGUUAAAUUCCGAAAAGACCUAUUCAACCAUUUCCGAGAAACAAAAACUAGUCAGCACAACAAAUUAGUCACACUACACAUGUCCUAAACAAUUUGUUCAUGUAAGAAUUUAAACUUUUUAAUGAAAAUAUUUAGUAUCAUGAAAGCAUGAAGAAAAAAAGAUUUUUGGGUAAGAAAAUAAUGAAGGCCGAAAAAUGAUCUUGUUCUUUUUUUUUCCCCCAAUUUUAUGGUAUUAUUUUGAUUUCCAGACGUUUACGAAUGUUUAAAUUUAAUCUCCUUUGAAGUUGAUUCUCCCGAGUCCCGAUUAUAAGAAGAAAACUUGUUAGAAGCGAGGCCACCAUUUCUCACCCAAACGAUACAAAAUUAGGUUAGGUAAGAUAACAUUUGAGUAGAUCUAGUUUUUCCAAGCAAACCAGGUCUAGUUUAAUAAUCGUAAUUUUGAAAUACUAAAAGAUCGGAUUAAAUUUGACAAAGUGUAUUGCUCCUUUUUAUAAAUAUAGUAUAUAACUACGAUAUGUUUUGUUAAGGUUGAUGAGACCCUGAUAAUAUGAGUAUAUGACUACAGUCUAGCUACAAGCCUACAAGUUUCUAUAUGAAAGAACUAGUACAAUAAUAACUGAUUAACUGUACUGUACGAUAUUCAAAAGAACUUAAUUGUUUUUAAUUAGAAGAGGAAGAUGAGAUUGGCGCACAAAAAAAAAAGAAAAAGAGGAAGAAGAUGAGAUAGUAAUUGGAAGCUUUAAAUCCCAAUUAAGAGAGGCUACAGCUGUAAUCAUUCGAAACGUAUUUACUUAUAUGAUGUCACCGUAAUAAAAUUUCUUGUAAUAAUAACUUUCUCAUUUAUCUAGUUGGAGUCACAAUGUCUACUUGAACCACUGGAAUAAACAAAAAAACUUCACUUGAAAAAGUAAUAAAUUUGAUGACAGCUCUUUAACUAUACCAAACGGAUUCAUACUAACUUCAACUUCUUUGAUCAAUUAUUCCAAACCCUAAAUUCUAGACCUAAAAUCAAACUAAAUUUGGUAACACAUCAAUUUAAUACUCUAUUAGAAGAAAACUAAACUAUAAAUAUCGAUUAUGUAUUUGAUCCUACUAUAUUAUUUGGGAAGUACAUUUUAAAUGUAACCUUAAUUUUUGUAAGUAAUUAUAUAGAUAUGCCAUUAGAAAUAAAAUUUUAAAGAGUAAAUUAAUUUAUCUCUUUAAGGAUUAAAAAGUCAAAUACUAAUUUAAUUAAAAAACAAAAUACAUUAUUAUUUUCCACAAAUAAUAACCAAUCAAAAUCAACAUAUAAGAUUUGAUAUCUAAAUUUUAAUUAAUUUAAUUUAAUUAAAAAACAAAAUACAUUAUUAAUUUCCAAAAAAGUAACCAAUUAAAAUCAACAAAUUAUAUUUGAUAUCUAAAUUAUCAUAUUAAUUUUUUAUUAAUUAUUAUAGUUCACUUCUCAUCUUUAUAUGAUUUUAUUUUUGCGGAAAAAUAAUAUCAUCAUUAUAAAAAAAGAAUUAGAGUUAUUUUGCAUAUGCCACAAUUUGAAUUUUUAAAAACGAAUAUAAACUGUUCAAUACAUGAAAAAAUAUUAUAACGGGUGAAAAAUAGAUUUAAGAAAACUUUCUACUGAGUAACGGGUCAUAAUUUGAAAUAUUUAUAUUCAAUUUCAUACAUAUUAUAUUGAAAAUUUAUAAUCUUAUAUAUUACAAUAAUUAAUAACAUAUUAGAUGUGAUUCAAUUUUUAAUAAAAGCUGGAAAAUCCUAGAAUUGACGGUUUAGAUCGAUAUUAAUACAAGAUGGAAUACUACAAGUGAAACUCUUAAAUUAACUAUCAAACUACAAGUGUAUAAUCUUAAACACUAAACAAUAUAGAUAAUAUCAACAAAACAUACACAUGAGAUCAAUUAAAUUUUAAUCACAUAAAAAUUAGCACAAAAAAAAGUAUUCAACAAUUAAAUUUUUAUCAAAUCUCUGUGUUAUAUAAGUUUUGAUACUAUAUUCGAAUAAUGUAAUAUACCUUUUCAAUUUGUAUUCUUUAACUAAUUUAAUCUAACUAAUAUAUUUGCUAAUCUUAUACCUAUCAAAACCGACUAUCGUUUCUUAUCUCUAUAGUAUUUUUGCAAGACUUUUUUGGUGGAUUUGGAUAAAAGUGUAUUCGGGUCAUAUGGUACAUUCUCCUAUUAAAUAAAUAUGGUGCACUCCGAUGUUAUUAGCUAAAAUGUUUAGAAUAUAAUUCAGAGUCAUAUCAUUAAUAAAAUUAAUAUUAAUAAAAUAAAUGACUUUUUGGCAAGACGAAUUUGGAGGGACGGGUUUUUGAAUCAACAUUAAUAAAAAAGUAAAAUAUAAUUAAUCCACCGUUUUAAUACGGGUUAAAUCUUUAAUUAAUUAUUUUUUAAGACCACUAAUAUUAAACAUAUCAAAUCAUCCUAAUUUAGAAAAGAUUAUAUAAAACCAAAAAUGUUAUGUGGUAUGUAUAAUAUUACUAUAUAUAAAAUUAAACAAUAAAAUAUAAAUGUAUUAGAGAAUGAUACAAUGUGCAAAACUUUUAUAUAUAAAAAAUAAUUCUUAAAUUUUAAAAAUUACUACUUUAAAAAAAAAAUCACGGGACGGGUAAAAAAUUUACAGAACGGGUUUUAUUUUGGAAUUGGGUUAUAUGGUGGAUGUAUUUGAAUCAAUAUUUAUAAAAUUUUAAAAUAUUAUUAAUAUGCUGUUUAAGUAGGGAUUAAAACUUCAGUUUUUUAACAAUUAUCUCAUGAAUUCGUGGUAUAGUGUUAUUUAAUAACAAUUAUAAACUGUAAAAUAAAAAUAUUUUAUAAAAAUAAAAUUUGCAAGUUUUAAUAUAUAUUACUUUUAAAAAAUAAAUCGUCCCGCAGUAUAUCACAUGUUAAAAUCUAGUUUAUAUAUCAUUUUGAUACUUUUUUAAAACAGAGACCGGUGCAGUUUAGUAGUUACGUGGAUACCAAAUAUAUCAUACAAGUUAAUAUAGAAAUUAAGAAUCAGAUACGACGUUCCAAACAAAUACUUAAACGUGUGUAGACCUUAGGAAACAUUGCCAACUGGCAACUUUGUAUUAUACUACCAAAAUCUAGAUAUCUAUAAAUCUAGAGGUGUGUAUGAUAAUGAAUAUUGAAUAGUAUAUGUUUGAUAUUCAAUGUUAUACUAUUCAGAUAUCAAAUACCUGGAUGUAUAUAUGUCAACUGAAAACAAAUAUAAUUCUCUUAGUAUGAAGACUAUUUACAUCUAAAUCAUAUGAAUAACUAAUUAACUUUUUCUUCUUUUUUUUGUUAAUUUUCAAAAACUAUGUCAUUUGUUAUGUAUUACAUAAUCACUUAAGAUAUAUAUAAAAAAAAAUGCCCUAACGAAUUUCGUCCACAACAUAUGAAUCGAGCUAGCUAUUUAGAUAUUUCUAUUAUGCAUAUGAUGAAUCAUAGAUUGAUAAACAUAUUAUAUAUUUUUUGAAAAAUGGUAGUUCAAUUUCUUUUGACACUAAUUAAACAUGAAAGAGACAUGUCCUUCGGGUGUAAGAAUACCUAAACAGACAAAGCAGAGAGUCAUAAAUAUCUUAUGAUUAUAAAUGGAAGAGACAUAUAAAAAAUGUUUAUUGUGUACUAAUCCCUUAUAUAGUUUAUGUUGGACAACUCCAUAUUAAUUUAGGUUUACUUAUAUUUCGGUUAUGAAACUCUAAAAAGUAUUGUCUCCCACUAUCCAUUAGGACAAACUGGCAAAGGCAACCACCUCAACAACAUCAAAGAACAAGAAUUAUUCAACUGUUCUACAAAACUAUACUAGUACUAUUACAGUUGUUUGUAGCAUAUACUUUUCCAAAUAGAAUUUUAUACGAUUUUCUUUUCCAUAUUUUUUGAAAAUGACAAGUGAUAUGAUUUGAGAAAAAACAAAAAAAAAAAACAAAUUUAUACAGUGAGGCCUGCAAGACCAUAAAACAAACUAAAGCCGUUCAUUAAGGUUCCAUUAAUUGGGCCUAUAUUUUUCUCGUUAUAUUAUGAGCCUGUUAUAGGCCCAUUAGUAAUAAUUUAUCGGGUUAUGAAGUAAAUUUUCAGAUAAUUAAGGGUCUCAAGUAUAAAUAUCUUAAAUAACAGACCCAUCUACCUGGAAAUAUGAGUAUUUGGGCAGAGAGGGGUGUUUUCGUAAAUUCAAGUACAUACUUUAUUUUUAUUUUUUUGCUUUCUUCGCCUUUUGCUCCCUCCUCGAGAAUUUCCGAUCGUGCUUUCCUCAAAAGCAUUUCUGUUUCUCGUCGUCGGAGCCCGACGACAGAUCUCUGAAUCGCUGGAGAAACAGUAAGUAAAUCUACAGAUCUCGUUUCUUCGAACUUCUUCUUCGUAUACUAUUUGUUUGUAUCGUUCCUUCGUUGUGCAUUGAUGUUCUUAAUGAUUACUAGAAUCUAAGUCAGAAGUUACCUCUAUUUGUUCUUCUUCUAUAUUUGAACUAGAUUUCGUUCUAGCGUCGAACAAACUCCUCGUUUUCUUUGAUUCGCAUUGCUGGUGAUUUUCCUGAAUUUCGAGAUUUAGCGAGACGUGUCUCGAGUUCUCUUGUGUUGACGGGAUUUUUCUUAUCUGGAGAACUGAUAAUAGUUUCAUGACACUGUCACUGGUCUGUUGAAUUGUAGUUUAAACUUAUUCCAUCGGAUAUAGUGACUCUUAACUCUAUAAGUUGCUGAUUUUGUAGAUGGGUUUAGUGUUAUCAGGUUUAUUGAUGUAACAACGAGUUUACAAACUUUGCUAUUUAGGGAUCUGUAGGAAUUCGUUUUUUUGGGGGCUCAAAUUGUUGGAAAUAGUUGCUUAGCUAUUCACAAUCUAAAUGUGAUUUGGGAAAUCUGCAACAUAUGUUAUUACUAUGGAAGAGGUUACUCUAUAUAGUUACUAAAUUAUCAGCAUGGUUUCUGACCAUUAUAGAAUUCUUUGCUUGUGGUUUAUUUGUUUGAAUCAAAGUGGUUUCAUUCAGAGACAGCGUUGUAGAUUUUGAUUAUCUCUGUAAUGUAUGAUGUGAAAAGUUACGCCACUUUCUAUCUUAUUAGCUCUUGAAAUGCAUCUAUUAUCUGUUUUAAAAUAAGAUUUUUUAAAUUUAAUUUGUUUUUUUUUGCCAGUAAUGAUUGAGUUUGGCCUCUAUCUGUGAAGGGUAUAUGCUCCGGCUGUAUCUACUUUAUAUUCUGCCAGGAAGAUUGUGAGCAUUGAAGUGCCUUGGGCUCUGGCUGAAGAUUUGAGCAGAUUAAAUGGGUCGCCUAAAGUUGCAUUCUGGAAUCAAGGCCAUUGAGGAAGAACCUGAGGACUUUGAGUGUACUGAUUCAAGUAAUACAACCACUUUAGCAUGCAUGAUUGAUACGGAAAUUGCUGCUGUUUUAGCGGUUAUGAGAAGAAAUGUAAGAUGGGGAGGUCGAUACAUGUCUGGUGAUGAUCAACUAGAACACUCGUUGAUUCAGUCACUUAAAGCUCUUAGAAAACAGGUGUUCUCAUGGAACCAGCCGUGGCAUACAAUUAGUCCCAUGUUGUAUCUUCAGCCCUUUCUUGAUGUGAUACGGUCAGAUGAAACUGGAGCACCAAUAACCAGCAUUGCUUUGUCAUCAGUUUACAAGAUCUUAAACCUGAAUGUAAUUGAUCAAAAUACUGCGAAUAUUGAAGACGCUAUGCACUUGGUAGUUGAUUCUGUGACAAGCUGUCGAUUUGAGGUGACAGAUCCUGCAUCAGAAGAGGUUGUGCUAAUGAAGAUACUUCAGGUUCUUCUAGCAUGUAUGAAAAAUAAAGCAUCAGUUAUGCUAAGCAAUCAGCAUGUAUGCACUGUCGUCAACACUUGUUUUCGUGUUGUCCACCAAGCAGGAAUGAAAGGUGAGUUAUUGCAACGAGUAGCUCGCCACACGAUGCAUGAAUUAGUGAGGUGUAUCUUCUCGCAUCUCCCAGAUGUUGAAAGAACAGAAACUACACUUGUCAACAGAGCUGGUAGCAUCAAACAAGAGGUAUGGUAUUGGGGUCCUUGUUAUUUCCUUUCUAGUUGGUUACAAGUCAGUUUGGUCCUGUAGGAUGUUCUGAGAUUAAAUAAAAACAUGAUACUACAGUAGCUAGGUUCCUUUACUUGCAACCUAGAAAAUUGAAAAAGCAGAGAAACUAUUUAAAUAGAAAUGAUAAAGAGCCAUAGAUUUGGCGAUUUGUUAAAUAUAGGUCUGCAACUUACUCUUGAACUUCAAAAUUAUGUAGACGCUUGUUUUCAUUCAGAUAGGAAAAUAUAUUUUUCCUAGUGCGAGUCAAAGAUCACUACUAGAGAAUUUAGACCAGAAACUCUGUAGAUAGUGAAUAAUUAAUUUCAUACGGAAUAAUUUUCCCAACAAAUGCUGGAUUUUAAGCCUUCUUCCCUUGAUUCAUAUAUCACUAAUUAUUGUACAAUAAUUAGUGAUGGUGUUUUGCAUGGUCGCAGAAAGCUGGAGUAGACAGUGAUUAUGCCAUUGUGAGUAAACCAGUCGAGGAUGGAAAUGCUAAUUCCGAGUAUGAUGUUGAAAAUUCUAUGGCAACUUUUGCAACUGGUGCUCAAAGUUUGAUGGAUGAUGGACCAGUUGGCCCUGGAAGCAGAAAGCCGGCUUCUCCAUAUGAUUUGCAUAUAAUGACAGAGCCAUACGGAGUCCCAAGUAUGGUGGAAAUUUUUCACUUCUUGUGCUCUUUGUUAAAUGUGGUCGAACAUGUUGGUAUGGGAUCCCGAUCAAACACCAUAGCAUUUGACGAAGAUGUGCCUCUGUUUGCGUUGAACUUGAUCAACUCAGCCAUUGAAUUGGGUGGAUCGUCCAUCCGCCAUCACCCAAGAUUGUUAAGCCUAAUUCAAGAUGAGUUAUUUCGUAACUUGAUGCAGUUCGGAUUGUCGAUGAGCCCCCUGAUUCUUUCGAUGGUUUGCAGCAUUGUGCUCAAUUUGUAUCAACAUCUACGAACUGAACUCAAGUUGCAGCUUGAGGCAUUCUUUUCAUGUGUGAUUCUAAGGCUUGCUCAAGGAAAAUAUGGGCCCUCGUAUCAGCAGCAAGAGGUUGCUAUGGAGGCUCUUGUGAAUUUUUGUAGGCAGAAGAGUUUUAUGGUUGAAAUGUAUGCCAAUCUCGAUUGUGAUAUAACUUGCAGCAACGUGUUUGAGGAGCUGUCUAAUCUUCUCUCGAAGAGCACAUUUCCUGUGAACUGUCCUUUGUCUGCAAUGCACAUUCUUGCUCUGGAUGGCCUAAUCGCUGUUAUUCAGGGAAUGGCCGAGAGGAUAAGUAAUGGAUUGACUGGUUUGGAUUUGGGUCCUGUCCAUCUUGAUGAGUACACGCCUUUCUGGAUGGUUAAGUGUGACAACUAUAGUGAUCCAAAUCACUGGGUUUCAUUUGUCCGCAGGAGAAAAUAUAUCAAGAGAAGGUUAAUGAUUGGAGCAGAUCAUUUUAACAGGGAUCCAAAGAAGGGGUUAGAGUUUCUCCAAGGCACACAUCUUUUGCCUGACAAACUCGAUCCCCAAAGUGUUGCUUGCUUUUUUAGAUAUACUGCUGGGCUUGAUAAGAACCUUGUUGGGGAUUUUCUUGGAAAUCAUGACGAAUUUUGUGUUCAAGUUCUCAAUGAGUUUGCUGGGACUUUCGAUUUCCAGUACAUGAAUCUGGAUACUGCACUCCGACUCUUCUUGGAAACCUUCAGGUUGCCUGGAGAAUCCCAGAAAAUACAGAGAGUGCUUGAGGCGUUCUCUGAAAGAUACUAUAUGCAAUCUCCUGAGAUUCUGGCCAACAAGGAUGCUGCUCUUGUGUUAUCAUACUCUAUUAUCAUGCUUAACACUGAUCAGCACAACGUUCAAGUAAAGAAAAAGAUGACAGAAGAGGAUUUCAUUCGCAAUAAUAGGCAUAUCAAUGGAGGAAAUGAUCUACCUCGAGAAUUCUUGUCUGAACUCUUUCACUCCAUCUGCAACAAUGAGAUCAGGACUACUCCAGAACAAGGUGCAGGCUUUCCUGAAAUGACUCCCAGCCGUUGGAUUGAUUUGAUGCAUAAAUCAAAGAAAACUGCUCCAUAUAUUCUGGCUGAUUCAAGGGCUUAUCUUGACCAUGAUAUGUUUGCUAUCAUGUCUGGUCCAACCAUUGCUGCCAUAUCAGUCGUUUUUGACCAUGCAGAACAUGAAGACGUUUACCAGACAUGCAUCGAUGGAUUCUUGGCUAUAGCUAAAAUUUCUGCCUGUCAUCAUCUUGAAGAUGUGCUUGAUGAUCUGGUUGUCUCUCUCUGCAAAUUCACAACUCUGUUGAAUCCAUCAUCUGUUGAUGAACCCGUUCUUGCAUUUGGUGAUGACGCAAAAGCAAGGAUGGCUACUAUCACAAUUUUUACCAUUGCAAACAAAUAUGGAGAUUAUAUACGUACGGGUUGGAGGAACAUAUUGGACUGUAUCUUACGGCUACAUAAACUUGGACUUCUGCCAGCUCGUGUAGCCAGUGAUGCAGCUGAUGAAUCAGAACAUUCAUCUGAGCAAGGGCAAGGAAAGCCCCUCGCGAAUUCCCUAUCUUCAGCUCAUCUACAGUCAAUGGGAACUCCGAGGAGAUCUUCCGGAUUGAUGGGAAGAUUUAGUCAGCUUCUUUCACUUGAUACAGAAGAGCCAAGAUCACAGCCUACUGAGCAACAGCUUGCAGCUCAUCAACGAACACUUCAAACAAUUCAGAAAUGUCACAUUGACAGCAUAUUUACCGAAAGCAAGUUUCUACAAGCUGAAUCUUUGUUGCAGCUUGCGCGUGCUCUCAUUUGGGCUGCAGGUAGGCCACAGAAAGGAACCAGUUCUCCAGAGGAUGAGGAUACUGCGGUUUUCUGUCUGGAAUUGCUUAUUGCAAUCACUCUAAACAACAGAGACAGGAUCGUUCUCCUAUGGCAAGGCGUCUAUGAACAUAUAGCUACAAUUGCUCAGUCAACGGUGAUGCCCUGCAACUUAGUGGAUAAAGCUAUUUUUGGUCUACUUCGGAUCUGCCAGAGACUACUUCCUUAUAAAGAAAGCCUAGCUGAUGAGCUUUUGAGAUCUCUUCAGCUUGUGCUGAAACUGGAUGCACGUGUUGCAGAUGCCUAUUGUGAGCAAAUUGCAAUUGAAGUCAGCCGUCUUGUGAAAGCCAAUGCUAAUCACAUCAGGUCUCAGGCGGGUUGGAGAACAAUCACAUCCUUACUCUCCAUCACAGCGCGGCACCCAGAAGCUUCUGAAUCAGGAUUUGAUGCCGUAUCCUUUGUUAUGUCUGAAGGAACUCACCUGUAUCCAGCCAAUUAUGUACUCUGUGUUGAUGCUGCAAGACAGUUUGCUGAAUCCCGCGUGGGACAGUCCGAACGCUCUAUCCGUGCCCUUGAUCUAAUGGGAGAUUCAUUAGAAUUUUUGGCUAAAUGGGCUCUCUCAGCUAAGGAAAACAUGGGAGAAGAAGAUUUCGGGAAGAUGUCACAAGAUAUUGGGGAAAUGUGGUUAAGGCUUGUUCAAGGACUAAGAAAAGUGUGUUUAGACCAGAGGGAGGAUGUCCGAAACCACGCUUUACAGUCAUUACAGAAGUGUUUAGGCGGAGUAGACGGAAUCAACCUAGCUCAUAGCAUGUGGUCUCAAUGCUUUGACAAAGUAAUCUUCACGGUUUUGGAUGACUUACUUGAGAUAGCUGCUGGGUCACAGAAAGACUACCGAAACAUGGAAGGCACAUUGCUUCUCGCAAUCAAACUUCUCUCCAAAGUGUUUCUUCAGCAACUCCAAGAGCUAUCUCAGUUAUCAACCUUCUGCAAGCUAUGGCUCGGUGUUCUAACUCGAAUGGAGAAAUACAUGAAAGUGAAAGUAAGAGGCAAAAAAAGCGACAAGCUACAAGAAUCAGUACCAGAGCUUCUCAAAAACAUAUUGCUGGUGAUGAAGACGAAAGGCGUGCUAUUGCAAAGAAGUGCUCUUGGUGGAGAUAGCUUAUGGGAGCUAACAUGGCUUCAUGUGAAUAACAUUGCACCGUCUAUGCGACUGGAGCUAUUCCCUGAUCAAGAAUCCUCACAACUUGGUGAUGAUGAAACCGUAUCGAAUGGCUUAUCUUCUCCUGAAAACACAACUGGUUCGUGACCUUACAAGUGAGAUCAUUAGGUGAGUUUCUUUCGAAUAUCCAUAUAAGUACUGUGAAAGUGAAAGCUUCUUAUGUAACACCUCUCUACGUUUUUUUUUGUAAUAUAUAAGUCUUUCUAAUUCAGAGACUCGUAUUAAUUAAGCAAGUUUCUUAAUUACGACUUUGUUAAUCACGGACCUUUGGAACGAGGUAGAAGGUCUUGAACAUGUGUGGAACCCACCAAAGGAAAAAUAUCAGUAGAUUCAGGAGAGUUGUUAAAUUUUGCCUCCACGAGUUUUUUUCUUUUCUUCUUGUUGAGUCGUUUACGUCACGUCGAGAAUUUUCUCUUUUCCCGAGAAAAUUAAGAAAGGAUCGUUUGAUUUUCUAAGAAGGGAAAGAUAAACAGUGAAUUAGAAAGAGAAGGAAGUUUCAAUGGAAUCGCUAACAUCUAUUUCUCCUUCCAUAAUUCUUCCUCCGGCCACCACUACUACGAUCCCCGUUUCAACUUCACGAUCAGUGUUGAUUCGUCUUCCUUCACGCCGUUCUUCUUACCUUUUCGGCUUGUCCAGCUCCGGGAGACGGAUUUCGAUUUCUAGAAGAAGACACUUCGUUAGCUGUAAAUCGACCGGCGGCGGAGGAGGAGGAUCAGAUAAGCUUGGUGGCGAUGAAGAAGAGAGCGAGGAAGUUGAGAAGGCGCUUCACUUGGAUGGUACGAUCCCUGGGACUUCCGAUGAGUUUGUAAGGCAAGUUUCGUCGCGUGCUUACGACAUGCGUCGGAAACUUGAGCAGACGUUUGAUUCCACUAGCUAUGACGGUAUAAUCUCUAUCGCUCUCAAUUCCUGCGUUUACUUUGAUUUUGGUGAUGCAAAAUUAAUACUUUCGUUGAUGCAACUAACUUGAUCAGAGUUUCUUAAAGAUUGUCUAGGAAGUUUGGGAACUGUAGUAGUUUGAAAUUCCCUUAGUGCCUUGUUUUUGUUAACAGGAGUCAAAUCGUUUUGUUGAACAAUGUCAGAAUUUAGUCACUGUGUCACACACAACCGGUGAAGAAGCUCUCCAUUGAUAGAUGUAGUGUUAGUUAUGAUUCAAAAGUUUGUGUUCUGCAUACCAUUUCUUUAGUUCCCCAGGAGAAGAGUGCUUCAGCUGAACUAUGAUGAGGAAAAUUGUUCAUUUCUAGAUUCCACUCUUACAGUAAGAUUGCAAGCACGGUUUUAUCAUCUCAUCUUUCACAUAGUGCUGAUGCAUAGGAAUAUCAAAGCAAUAGGAACAUAAGUGUUUUAUUCAAUUUAAGCUUGUAUUCAUCUAAAGUUAAUAAAUUGAUGUUGUUCCUUUAGUGCUCUGUAUCUUUGACUGAGUGAUUUCGUUGAGAACCAUUUCUCUCACUGUGGCUUCUCACAAUCUUAGUGUUGGAGUCCAACCCAUGGAGAGGAGAUUCGAAGCCUGUAUAUGUAUUAACACAUAGAGAAAACCAGAUAUGUACCAUGAAAACAAGAACAAACCACAGGUUCCAACUCUAUUCCACUCAAGUUUUUUUUUAUAGUUUUAGUUUUCUUCUCCCUAUGACAUUAGCAAUCCUUAUAAACAGUGAAGUAGAAAAAGAGCUUGGACUGUUGUUCCCUAGUAGGAUCAGCAACCAGACAAAGCAGGCUAGACCCAAAACUAAAUUCGAUAUGCUCGUAGAAGACAUUCGAGAUGGAGUACUGGUAAGUAUUCUCACUGAAUCACUUUCAAGACCUUAUGAAACCCAGACAACGUGAUAUGCCUAGUUUUUAUCUCAAAGGUUUUCGAAGAUGUGAAUGAGGCUGUUAGAUACUGUGACCUAUUACAAGGGGGAGGGAAAGGGUGUGAAGGUGUCGCUGAGAUUGAGGCCUCCUCUGUAAGAUUAUGAGACAAAGAUAUCAUCUAAUUCUAGAACUUGUUGCCUUUAAACAUUUGAAAUGAUCUGCUUUUUUUUUUUUGAAUAGGUUUUUGAUCUUUGUCGGAAAACAAGGUCUCUGGCAGUGCUCUUCCGCCGUGGAAGAACACCACCUACACCUCAGACGCUGGAACGUAAUCUCGGAUCCCGGAAGCGUUCUCUUGAGGACUUGAGGGAUAAUAAAUAGCUUGUGAAACAAUGUAUUAAUUUUACUUGCAAUAAUUGAAAAUACUUUGUAUAGACUAAACAGUAAUUAACCGUGGGUGAUACUGUGUAUAUAUAUAAAAUGCAUUUUACUUGUGCUCCAUAACUUUUUUUUGUUCCUUAUAAUUCUCUUGAAGUUGCGCUCUUUUCUUUGAAGGCUUUAAAGCUAACACUAGUAGGUAAUGUAUUACUUGGUCAAUCAACAUGUGAGUAUUUAUAGUAUCUAUGAUUAGUUGACAAAAAAGACCAUUGUAUAUUGAACUUCUUAACAUGAAAAAUAGUGACUUUUUUUUGUUUAGAUAAAAAUAGAUAUGCUAAAGGCAUAUGCUAGUGUAUUAUUAAUAAAAAUCAUGUGAUAGAUGUGAUUCCAUGUUAUCCGGAUCGUUGACUUGACUUAGUACCCAUAACGUUUAUUAUAUAAUUCAUAUAGCAUUUUAUGAUUGUCAAAUUUAUAUUUAUACAUAUGAUAGACUAUUAUGUCAAAAAGACAGGUAAAGCCACUUUGUUUACUUAUUCUUUCUUAACUCAAAACUCCAAAGGGUAAAAUCAAGGUGACCAUUACUCUUUCAGUUUCAAAAGAUUGUAUUAUUGUAACAAGGUGACCAUUACUCUUAAAAUUUAUUCAAAAAUAACCAAAUCUAAACUAAAACGUAACUAAAAUUUGAUAUUAUUCAUGAAAUUCUAAGAACAAAUCCAACAUGAUCCCUUAAUAAUUUCCCUUUAGUAGUCUAGCCUUCUUAGUCGGUCACUAAUAAUAAAGAGUAAAGAGACCAAAAGAGAGAAGUCUUAGAUAACGGUGACAGAGUUAAAAAAGAACUCACUAAAAUAGACGGAGGAAAAAGUCAUCAAUUCAACUUGACGGCUAAGUUAACGGCGAUUAUCUUCGUUCACACAAGCAACACAAAAGAGAAAACAUGAAUCAUCUCUCUCUCCCUCUCUCCGGUUCCACAGUAAAGAAUUGAUUCCUCAAUCUCACGCGGAAGCAAAAUCCAAAUUCUAAAAUUCUAAGAAACCACUCUAAUCACAUCGCUCUAUCGAUCAAAAUCGAAACCCUUAUUCAAAAAUCUCUUAUUUUUUCCAUUUUUCUCUCAAUCAUCUGAAUCGGUUUUGAGAUGAGCUCCGAUUCACCGGCGGCUGGAGACGGUGGCGAACAAGCCGCUGCGGGAACAAGCGUGCCUUCACCUUCAUACGACAAACAAAAGGAGAAGGCACGUGUGAGUAGAACAUCUCUGAUACUAUGGCACGCGCACCAAAACGACGCAGCUGCAGUUCGGAAACUCUUGGAGGAAGAUCCGACUUUGGUUCACGCUAGAGACUAUGACAAACGAACGCCUCUCCACGUGGCGUCGCUUCAUGGAUGGAUCGAUGUUGUUAAAUGUCUGCUUGAGUUUGGUGCUGAUGUCAAUGCUCAGGAUAGGUGGAAGAACACGGUAAAGCCUCUUCCUUUUUAUUUUGAAUUUUGGGUUGCUUCUUCAAGUUUCUUAACUUUGUUAUGAUUCUGAUCUAAAACUUAUUGUUGUAUUUGUGGGUAUUUGCAGCCACUGGCUGAUGCAGAAGGAGCUAGGAAGCAGAAAAUGAUUGAACUGCUGAAAUCUCAUGGUGGUUUGUCUUAUGUGAGUUUUUGAAUUCCCUUUUCUGAUCUUUGUAUAGCUUUAGGUUAGACAUUGUUCCUUUUGUUUCAUUUGUUAGGGUAGGUGAUGAUUGCUAUUGAAUAUGAAAAUGUUUUUUGCAAAAUUUAGAAACUUUCGUAUCUCUCUGAAGUAGCUGCUUAAUGCAGUGUUGUUUGUUAUUCUUUAGUGUUUCUAUUAGUCAUUUUUGUUGUUGUGUGUGGAUAGUUGUUCAUAUGUAGCUGAGUAAAUUCACUAUGCAGGGUCAAAACGGAAGUCACUUUGAACCAAAGCCUGUGCCACCACCAAUUCCAAAGAAAUGUGACUGGGAAAUUGAACCUGCUGAGCUGGAUUUUUCAAAUGCUGCAAUGAUUGGAAAGGUAUGAUUUGUGCUUUUGCUUAUCCGUGUUUAGUUCAAUAUAAUGGAGUUUUGAGCAAAUGAGUUUCUUUUGGCUAAUUUGGGGUUGGUCACAUUCUUUUAGGGUUCAUUUGGUGAGAUUGUGAAAGCCUAUUGGAGAGGAACACCGGUAGCUGUGAAACGUAUUCUUCCUUCUCUUUCAGAUGAUAGACUGGUUAUGUAAGUUCUUACUUCUCUCUUAUAUCCCAAUUAUUAUUGUCGAAGAAGUUUCUAGCUUUUAGCUGAUACUUUGGUAUCGCUCUCACCUAAGAUUCUUGUGUUUCCAUACUUGUUGUGAUAUACAGUCAGGACUUCAGGCAUGAGGUUGAUUUGCUAGUUAAGCUUCGCCAUCCAAAUAUAGUCCAAUUCUUAGGAGCGGUAACCGAAAGAAAGCCCCUUAUGUUAAUCACUGAGUACUUACGCGGGGUAGGUUUUCACUAUCCGCUUUCUUUUUCUUAUGCAAUUUUUCUUCUUGGCUAAAUAAAUGAUUCAUCUUUUUGACAGGGAGAUCUUCAUCAAUACCUCAAGGAGAAGGGCGGUCUUACUCCAACAACUGCUGUCAACUUUGCUUUGGAUAUCGCGAGGUACUUGAAGUUUUAACAUUCGAGAUAUUAUGUGAGAAUUUGUUCAUCAUAUUUAGCCUGAGUGUUUUCGAAAAUUUGUUGUUACAGAGGAAUGACAUAUCUUCACAAUGAACCUAAUGUUAUCAUUCACCGAGAUCUUAAACCAAGGUAAUCAAAAUCGCUUCAUAUAUAUAGCUCCUUAGUUUCUUACUUCAAAUCCGCUGCUCAUAAAUCGCUUCUUGCAUUUUAUAUUUCAGGAACGUUCUUCUGGUUAAUUCUAGUGCAGACCACUUGAAAGUUGGAGACUUUGGACUUAGUAAGCUCAUAAAAGUUCAAAACUCUCAUGAUGUCUACAAAAUGACUGGAGAAACAGGAAGCUGUAAGUGUUGUUCUAUAGUAAAAUCGGAGGUCCUCUGCCUUCUUUUCCUUUCAUUUCUUUAACUUCACCUUCUUUGUUUCUCUUCUUCGUGCAACAAAACCAGAUCGUUAUAUGGCUCCUGAAGUAUUCAAGCAUAGAAGAUAUGACAAGAAAGUCGAUGUCUUCUCCUUUGCAAUGAUACUUUACGAGGUACUAAGAUCUUAACUAUAAAACUUCCUUUCUCUACUACAAAAAACAAAACCAAAGUUCAGAAAAUCUUAACCUUAAUUUCAUUACCACAUUGUACCCAGAUGCUUGAAGGAGAGCCACCAUUUGCGAACCAUGAGCCAUAUGAAGCAGCCAAACAUGUAUCUGAUGGACAUAGACCUACAUUCCGUUCCAAAGGAUGCACACCAGAUCUAAGAGAGUAAGAAAAAUACGAGGCCAUAUGCACCGGUAUUACUCUACCGGUUAUCUAACUAAUUUUCUCUUUUAUAGGUUAAUUGUGAAAUGCUGGGACGCAGACAUGAACCAGAGACCGUCGUUUCUGGACAUUCUCAAGAGACUUGAAAAGAUCAAGGAAACUCUACCAUCAGAUCACCAUUGGGGCUUAUUCACUUCAUAAUACACAAAAUCCAUUAUUUAAGCACAAAAACAACCAGAAACAAGAAAGUAUCAUUCUCUGUUUGCCUUAUUAAUCUCUGUUUCAUUUCUUUUGUAAAGAUUGUUUCUUUUUCAUCUUUUCAUUUGCUUUAAAAGAGUGUGAGAUAGAAAGCUUUUAUUGUUGUUACAUGGAUUGGAUUGAGUUUGCAGGUUAAUGAGAAGUUCAUAUCAUAUCAGACAGGAUAAAAUGUCUGUUUCCGAAAAAUUCAGUAACAAAAUGAAAAAUGAGUUCAGUAGUGUAUAUAAAGCUAUAGUCAUAGGGUUUUCAAUACAAUCUCUGCCCUCAGGAGAUGGUAAUGGUUUUCAGAUAAGCUUCUUUUUCUGGAAGAAAGUCUUCAAGUGCCAAAACUGAAGACCUGCGACCGAUAAACAAACUGCAAGCGACACGAAACUCAACCAUGCCAUCUUCGAAUUUGUCGCUAUGUUCAGAUUGUGCAUUUCUUCUUCCCUGUAAUAUACCAAAUGAAGAAGGGUUUUGAGUUUUGAUUCACUCUCAUCCUCUGAUCAAGUGACUUCAAGGGAAGACAGGUUUUGUUGUCAUUACCUGUCGCGGAGAUAGAACAUCUCAUCGUGGAUUCCAUUCACGGUUUCAAAUAACUUCUUAACCUCAAACUCCAUCGUCUGGCCAAUAAAUAAAACAAGAUCCAACCAUAACAAGGUUAACAAAACAUUCCUUCAAAAACUCUGCAAUCUCUUUAAGAGGCUAUGUUACAUUUCAAGCUAGUCUUGCUCUGUAGUAUGUUAAAGCCUAGUCCUAUCUACCACAUUUCAAGAUAGUAAUUUUCUGCGUCUGUUAAAGCCUAGUCCUAUCCACCUUCAUUUAGCAGGGAAAGAACUCCUGAAUGAGCUGAAGAAAUCGAUGGGGUUCAAAGGUGAAACUAAUGAAGCUAUUUUCUCAUAUGCAAGACUGCAGACACAGGUCAGUAACACACGAGCCCUGUCAGCUUAAUUCAUGGCCUUGUUCUAACCAAACCAAUGCACCAACAUAACCUAUAAACCAAGACUACAUAGCAUUUCUCACUUCAGAUAUAACUUUCCACUUUCCAGCACUAUGUCUUGGUGUAACUUAGGCAGCUAUCAAAUUCUCACACAUCCGGCGCAAUGCUCUAUUGUUCAUGUCAUUAGAAGCAUCAAAAUCUAUUUCCUCUAAAGAGAUUAGUUUGACUAAGUUAAGACUUCAAGAGUAAAGAAAAAGCGAAAAACUUAC